GCUUGCACCAGGUGGCGAGUGGCGAGGGGUGAGUAAUACAUCGGAACAUGUCCUGUAGUGGGGGAUAGCCCGGCGAAAGCCGGAUUAAUACCGCAUACGAUCUACGGAUGAAAGCGGGGGACCUUCGGGCCUCGCGCUAUACGGUUGGCCGAUGGCUGAUUAGCUAGUUGGUGGGGUAAAGGCCUACCAAGGCGACGAUCAGUAGCUGGUCUGAGAGGACGACCAGCCACACUGGGACUGAGACACGGCCCAGACUCCUACGGGAGGCAGCAGUGGGGAAUUUUGGACAAUGGGCGAAAGCCUGAUCCAGCAAUGCCGCGUGUGUGAAGAAGGCCUUCGGGUUGUAAAGCACUUUUGUCCGGAAAGAAAUCCUUGGCUCUAAUACAGUCGGGGGAUGACGGUACCGGAAGAAUAAGCACCGGCUAACUACGUGCCAGCAGCCGCGGUAAUACGUAGGGUGCGAGCGUUAAUCGGAAUUACUGGGCGUAAAGCGUGCGCAGGCGGUUUGUUAAGACCGAUGUGAAAUCCCCGGGCUCAACCUGGGAACUGCAUUGGUGACUGGCAAGCUAGAGUAUGGCAGAGGGGGGUAGAAUUCCACGUGUAGCAGUGAAAUGCGUAGAGAUGUGGAGGAAUACCGAUGGCGAAGGCAGCCCCCUGGGCCAAUACUGACGCUCAUGCACGAAAGCGUGGGGAGCAAACAGGGAUUAGAUACCCUGGUAGUCCACGCCCUA
rnacentral:rRNA from 1 species